rnacentral:rRNA from 1 species
CCUACGGGUGGCAGCAGUGGGGGAUAUUGCACAAUGGGGGAAACCCUGAUGCAGCGACGCCGCGUGAGUGAAGAAGUAUUUCGGUAUGUAAAGCUCUAUCAGCAGGGAAGAAAAUGACAUUACCUGACCAAGAAGCCCCGGCUAACAACGUGCCAGCAGGCGCGGUAAUACGUCGGGGGCAAGCGUUAUCCGGAUUUACUGGGGGUAAAGGGAGCGUAGACGGUUAUUUAAGUCUGGAGUGAAAGCACGGGGCCAAACCCCGGGACGGCUUUGGAAACUGUGUGACUGGAGUACAGGAGGGGCAGGCGGAAUUCCUGGUGUAGCGGUGAAAUGAGUAGAUAUCAGGAGGAACACCGGCGGCGAAGGCGGCCUGCUGGACUGAAACUGACGCUGAGGCUCGAAAGCGUGGGGAGCAAACAGGAUUAGAUACCCGGGUAGUC